UACGUAGGGGGCUAGCGUUGUCCGGAAUCAUUGGGCGUAAAGCGCGUGUAGGCGGCCCGGUAAGUCCGCUGUGAAAGUCGGGGGCUCAACCCUCGGAUGCCGGUGGAUACUGUCGGGCUGGAGUGCGGAAGAGGCGAGUGGAAUUCCUGGUGUAGCGGUGAAAUGCGCAGAUAUCAGGAGGAACACCAAUUGCGAAGGCAGCUCGCUGGGACGUUACCGACGCUGAGACGCGAAAGCGUGGGGAGCAAACAGG
rnacentral:rRNA from 1 species